AGUCCAUCUAAUAUGCACACAAACAGGUCAUGUGUAUCCAGUACUCGAACCCAACUGGAGAGUGACCCAGUGAGGCGUAGCGACGCUGCCGAAGUGCCAAGCGACCCCCGGUGAUCCAAGCACGACAUACAGUGUGACCCCGGUGAGCCACCCACGAUCCCGGCGACGUCGCCCGACCUCGCUACCCGGCGUCCCCAUCGGUGCCGCCACAUGUGACCUCGGUGAGCCACCCGGCGACCCCCCCUGCGUGUGAUGCCGCUCCGGCGACCCUCUCUCACCGUGUGUCCGUUUGUCCAUCGACCACUUUAGCUGAUGUAUAGGGGGAGACCAAUUCCGUGGGCACUCUGUAACCACUGCAGGUCAACCUAGCCUCGCACCCCGUUGCAGGUAAAUCGAGCCUCCGCGGACCCAUUCCCCGCGCCCCGGCGUCGACAAGAGCUCCCGAUGAGCCGCACGCGCCACUGUCAGUGUCUUUCCUCCACAACACCUGCACCAAAGGCAAUUUUUUGAGAAGAAAGCUCUAUUCCGUGGGCACUCUGUAAUCUCCUAUUCCGUCUCCAGCCACUUCCUCCGGGGCAGAAAGUCCAGUCUCCAGCAAUGCUGGCAAGCAUUUUUCACGGCGGAUUCGUGAUCAUGUUUCCAAUCCGAAUCAGAGCAUAUGUGAUAUUUCUGCACCGUCCGUAUUUCUAUUUACUUUCAGGCAGCAGUAUCUAGCACUUCCCCUCCCACUUCUUUGGAGUAGUUCCACGUUUUAUUUCCAACAGGUGGUCGUACCCUGUUCACAUGGAAUUGUUAAGUCUCAGAAACUCAUCAUGUUCUUACAGGUUUCUUCUCAGAUUCUUUAUGUACAUAGAGCAAGUACUAUGACUCAACACACUGUCUUCUAGGACUAAUUCUGCACCCGUUGUGUUUGAGAGAAGAUGUUUAUUCUUCUUCUUUCACAUUUAGCAGAAACAAUUGCUAACACACGUGCUAG